GACGAACGCUGGCGGCGUGCUUAACACAUGCAAGUCGAACGGAAAGGCCCUGCUUGCAGGGUACUCGAGUGGCGAACGGGUGAGUAACACGUGGGCGAUCUGCCCUGCACUUCGGGAUAAGCCUGGGAAACUGGGUCUAAUACCGGAUAGGAGCCAUUUUUAGUGUGAUGGUUGGAAAGUUUUUUCGGUGUAGGAUGAGCUCGCGGCCUAUCAGCUUGUUGGUGGGGUAAUGGCCUACCAAGGCGGCGACGGGUAGCCGGCCUGAGAGGGGGGACGGCCACAUUGGGGCUGAGAUACGGCCCAGACUCCUACGGGAGGCAGCAGUGGGGAAUAUUGCACAAUGGGCGCAAGCCUGAUGCAGCGACGCCGCGUGGGGGAUGACGGCCUUCGGGUUGUAAACUCCUUUCGCUAGGGACGAAGCUUUGUGUGACGGUACCUAGAUAAGAAGCACCGGCUAACUACGUG
rnacentral:rRNA from 1 species